CUCUUUAUACCCUAAACCCCUCACAUUAAAGAGGGGAAGAUCGAAAAGAUCCAUCAGACCUCUAAGAAAGAAGAGGGAACGACAGACCUUCUGGGUUCUCUUCUUCAUUUUCAGUUUCUAAAAACACCACAAAACCAACGACUCCCUUCACUCAUACACACUCAAUUCACACUCUCUUACACACGCCUAAGCCCUAGUAGCAGCUAAAAAUUCUAGAAUUCCUGAUCUGAAUUUCAAAAUUUCAAAAUCUUAGAAACAAACAACAAAACUGAACCAAAAAAGAGUUACAAAGUUGAUUCAAGUCUCAGUUUCACAUGCUUUAUAUUCUCUGGAACUUUCAAAGCUUAAUCGGGUUGUAAAGGUGUCGUUAUUUAUAGAGUCGCUGCUGGAGCUCGCUCUUAUUUCACACCUUAUUUGGUCAAUUUCGUUGCUGCUGCUGUCUGUCUCAUCGCUGAGCUCCCUGCUCCUUUCUUUGCUUUUAUGCGGGAUAAUUUCGCAAUGUAUUAUUGCUGAUUGAGGUAUGGAUUUCAGUCCAAAAAUGAUGUAAUUAAUUUUGAAGGCCAUCUUCUCUGUGAUUGUUUUGUUGGAAUUCACACUCGAUUCCAUUCUUUCUUAUGUUUGGAUUGAAAGUAAUAAGGCAUUAUUUUGAUUCCUUUGAGAUAUAAGAACAUAGAAUUUUUCGAUUCCUUUAAGCUAAAUCUUAAUCAUGUUAGGUUGAGUGUUUGUUGGUAAAAUUCUGUGCAUUAGGUACUGUUGCUAUCAUUGGUUUCAUGUUUAAUUUUGAAUUGUUUAGCACUUUUUAUGGUUAAACAUUUUGAUGGCU